UACGGAGGGUGCAAGCGUUAAUCGGAAUUACUGGGCGUAAAGCGUGCGCAGGCGGUUUGUUAAGUCCGUUGUGAAAGCCCCGAGCUCAACUUGGGAAUUGCAGUGGAUACUGGCGAGCUGGAGUGCGGUAGAGGAAGGUGGAAUUCCCGGUGUAGCGGUGAAAUGCGUAGAGAUCGGGAGGAACACCAGUGGCGAAGGCGGCCUUCUGGACCAGCACUGACACUCAAGCACGAAAGCGUGGGGAGCAAACAGG
rnacentral:rRNA from 1 species